GGGGGGGGGGAGGAGUCCCUCAGCCCAGAUUGCGAGAGGGAGCAGGCCAGGCCUAGGAACUCCACCAGUGCACA
rnacentral:pre_miRNA from 1 species